CCCAGGGUCAGCAGACACUUGCUUCAGGUUCUUCACCGUCACCUGACUUAAUGCUUGCAUCAUCUUUCUGGGUUGAAAGAAAUUUAUAUGCCAGAAGUGUUUAACUACCAGGAGUAGGCCUGCUGUCAGAGGCCUGGCCAGAGGUGGAAGAAUGUCUGAGUUCCAGCGGCCCAUCCCCACUGGACCUCAGGGAGGAAGCGAGAUUUACGAGGGCUGCGAUUAGCAUCAUCACUCCCAGCACCACCCGAAGGCCCUGGCAGGCCAUAAGGUACAGAAGAGGAUCUCACAGCAAUGGUUUGUGG